AUUGAACGCUAGCGGGAUGCCUUACACAUGCAAGUCGAACGGCAGCACGGACUUCGGUCUGGUGGCGAGUGGCGAACGGGUGAGUAAUGUAUCGGAACGUGCCCAGUAGCGGGGGAUAACUACUCGAAAGAGUAGCUAAUACCGCAUACGCCCUACGGGGGAAAGGGGGGGAUCGCAAGACCUCUCCCUAUUGGAGCGGCCGAUAUCGGAUUAGCUAGUUGGUGGGGUAAAGGCCCACCAAGGCGACGAUCCGUAGCUGGUUUGAGAGGACGACCAGCCACACUGGGACUGAGACACGGCCCAGACUCCGCCGGGAGGCAGCAGUGGGGAAUUUUGGACAAUGGGGGCAACCCUGAUCCAGCCAUCCCGCGUGUGCGAUGAAGGCCUUCGGGUUGUAAAGCACUUUUGGCGGGAAAGAAAUCGCAUGGGUUAAUACCCUGUGUGGAUGACGGUACCUGCAGAAUAAGCACCGGCUAACUACGUGCCAGCCGCCGCAGUAA
rnacentral:rRNA from 1 species